CACUACUGAAGAGUACAUUUUGUAGAAUGUCCCUCAACAUGGAUUUCUUCCAGAGCCAGUGUCACCAAAGUAUAUACUUAGAUGACAAACCAGGGGUUCCUGCCACAGUUUUGCCACUGUGCCUGCUCCUCAGCCACAUCAUUCCAUGUAGCCAUUUUAGCCAGGGCAUCAUUGACCAAGGUCUGACAAUUAUGAGAAGAAUAGAAGAUCCUGUGAAGCCAUUAUUAGCUCUUGACUCAAUGGCAACAGCCCUUUUUUCCAUUUGAACUAACGCAGUUGUAAAACCUUGGGCAAGUAGUUCAAUGUGCCUGGACCUCAGUUUCCCUCAACUAUGCAAUGCAAU
rnacentral:lncRNA from 1 species